rnacentral:rRNA from 1 species
AGAGUAUAAAGGCAAAAGCGCGCUUGACUGCGAGACAGACACGUCGAGCAGGUACGAAAGUAGGUCUUAGUGAUCCGGUGGUUCUGUAUGGAAGGGCCAUCGCUCAACGGAUAAAAGGUACUCCGGGGAUAACAGGCUGAUACCGCCCAAGAGUUCAUAUCGACGGCGGUGUUUGGCACCUCGAUGUCGGCUCAUCACAUCCUGGGGCUGAAGCCGGUCCCAAGGGUAUGGCUGUUCGCCAUUUAAAGUGGUACGCGAGCUGGGUUUAGAACGUCGUGAGACAGUUCGGUCCCUAUCUGCCGUGGACGUUUGAGAUUUGAGAGGGGCUGCUCCUAGUACGAGAGGACCGGAGUGGACGAACCUCUGGUGUUCCGGUUGUCACGCCAGUGGCAUUGCCGGGUAGCUACGUUCGGAAGAGAUAACCGCUGAAAGCAUCUAAGCGGGAAACUUGCCUCAAGAUGAGAUCUCACUGGAGCCUUGAGCUCCCUAAAGGGCCGUCGAAGACUACGACGUUGAUAGGUUGGGUGUGUAAGCGCUGUGAGGCGUUGAGCUAACCAAUACUAAUUGCCCGUGAGGCUUGACCAUAUAACACCCAAACAAUU